rnacentral:rRNA from 1 species
GAGUGAACGCUGGCGGUAGGCCUAACCCAUGCAAGUCGAACGGCAGCACAGUAAGAGCUUGCUCUUACGGGUGGCGAGUGGCGGACGGGUGAGGAAUACAUCGGAAUCUACUUUUUCGUGGGGGAUAACGUAGGGAAACUUACGCUAAUACCGCAUACGACCUACGGGUGAAAGCAGGGGAUCUUCGGACCUUGCGCGAUUGAAUGAGCCGAUGUCGGAUUAGCUAGUUGGCGGGGUAAAGGCCCACCAAGGCGACGAUCCGUAGCUGGUCUGAGAGGAUGAUCAGCCACACUGGAACUGAGACACGGUCCAGACUCCUACGGGAGGCAGCAGUGGGGAAUACUGGACAAUGGGCGCAAGCCUGAUCCAGCCAUACCGCGUGGGUGAAGAAGGCCUUCGGGUUGUAAAGCCCUUUUGUUGGGAAAGAAAAGCAGCAGGUUAAUACCCCGCUGUUCUGACGGUACCCAAAGAAUAAGCACCGGCUAACUUCGUG